UCAAGCUAAUAAGAGCACAGGGUGGAUGCCCAGGCACCAAACGCCGAUGAAAGACGUGGCAAGCUGCGAAAAGUCACGGGGAACCGCAAGCAGGUAUUGAUCCGUGAACGUCUGAAUGGGGAAACCCGGCGGGUUAAUAGCCCGUCACUAUUAACUGAAUCAAUAGGUUAAUAGGGGGAACGCGGGGAACUGAAACAUCUCAGUACCCGUAGGAAGAGAAAAUAAAGAAUGAUUUCCUAAGUAGCGGCGAGCGAACGGGAAAGAGGCCAAACCGAAGGGCUUGCUCUUCGGGGUUGUGGAUCAGCAAAAAGGACGGAAGACCUUAGCAGAAGAGGAUUGGAAAGUCCCGCCAGAGAGGGUAAAAGCCCCUUACGCGAAAAGGUCAAACGACGAGCUGACACCAGAGUACCGCAGGACACGAGAAAUCCGGUGGGAAGCCGGGAGGACCACCUCCCAAGCCUAAAUACGAAUUGGUGACCGAUAGUGCAUAGUACCGUGAGGGAAAGGUGAAAAGAACCCCGGGAGGGGAGUGAAAAAGAACCUGAAACCCUGUGUUUACAAGCAGUGAAAGUGCGAGCAAGGCACGAUCACGUACUUUUUGUAGAACGGACCGGCGAGUUACGUUAUGCAGCAAGGUUAAGAACUAAAGGUUCGGAGCCGAAGCGAAAGCGAGUCUGAAUAGGGCGAUAGUUGCAUGACGUAGACCCGAAACCGGGUGACCUAUCCAUGAGCAGGUUGAAGUGGAGGUAAAGCUCCAUGGAGGACCGAACCAGACGUCUGUUGAAAAAGGCGGGGAUGACUUGUGGAUAGGGGAGAAAUUCCAAUCGAACCCGGAGAUAGCUGGUUCUCCUCGAAAUAGCUUUAGGGCUAGCCUCAUGGAUCAUUGGUGGGGGUAGAGCACUGAAUGUGCGCGGGGGCCACAAAGCCUACCAAACGCUAUCAAACUUCGAAUACCAUACAAUGCAGACCAUGGGAGUCAGUCCGCGAGAGAUAAGUUCCGCGGGCAAAAGGGGAACACCCCAGAUCAACCGCUAAGGUCCCCAAGUUCACGUUAAGUGGAGAAGGAUGUGGAAUUGCACAGACAACCAGGAUGUUGGCUCAGAAGCAGCCACACAUUUAAAGAGUGCGUAAUAGCUCACUGGUCGAGUGAUUGUGCGCCGAAGAUGUCCGGGGCUAAACGUGACACCGAAGCGAUGGGUGCGUCUGAAGAAGAUGCGCGGUAGAGGAGCAAUGUGCAGAGGCAGAAGCCGUAUCGAGAGGCACGGUGGACACUGCACAAGAGAGAAUGCCGGUAUGAGUAGCGAGAGGCAUGCGAGAAACAUGCCCGUCGAAAGCCCAAGGUUUCCUGGGGAAGGUUCAUCCGCCCAGGGUAAGUCGGGGCCUAAGCCGAGGACGGAAGUCGUAGGCGAUGGACAGCAGGUGUAGAUUCCUGCACUACCGAUGGAAUGAAGCAGUGACACAGAAGGAUAACUCGAGCAGGGUGAUGGUCAACCCUGUGCAAGCAUCAAGGUUGGGUUGUAGUGAAGUACGCAACCCUAUAAGCUGAGGUGUGAUGCGGACCGAAAUUUCAGUAGGGAAGCGAGUGAGUUCACGCUGGCGAGAAAAGCUGCUAGUAUAUCCAAAGGUACCCGUACCGGAAACCGACGCAGGUGGGCGAGGAGAGAAUCCUGAGACGAACGGGAGAACCCUUGUUAAGGAACUCGGCAAAAUGACCCCGUAACUUCGGGAUAAGGGGUGCCUGCGAGAGCAGGCCGCAGAGAAUAGUCACAAGCGACUGUUUAGCAAAAACACAGGUAUCUGCGAAAGCGAGAGCUGACGUAUAGGUGCUGACACCUGCCCGGUGCUGGAAGGUUAAGGGAACAUGUUAGAGCAAUCGAAGCAUCGAACCGAAGCCCCAGUAAACGGCGGCCGUAACUAUAACGGUCCUAAGGUAGCGAAAUUCCUUGUCGGGU
rnacentral:rRNA from 1 species